GCAUCCGGCGGGCGCUACGGUCUGGCGCAGUCGACCUUCCAGGUUGGCGGCAAUGCCGGGUCGGCGUUCGGGCCGUUGCUGGCGGCA
rnacentral:tRNA from 1 species